rnacentral:rRNA from 1 species
UACAGAGGUCCCGAGCGUUGUUCGGAUUCAUUGGGCGUAAAGGGCGCGUAGGCGGCCUGUUAAGUCGAACGUGAAAUCCCUGGGCUCAACCCAGGAACUGCGUCCGAUACUGGCAGGCUUGAAUUCGGGAGAGGGAUGCGGAAUUCCAGGUGUAGCGGUGAAAUGACGUAGAUAUCUGGAGGAACACCGGUGGCGAAGGCGGCAUCCUGGACCGAUAUUGACGCUGAGGCGGCGGAAA